rfam:Camelus ferus unplaced genomic scaffold scaffold162, whole genome shotgun sequence.
UCGCCAAGAAGCCCCUUUGCCUUCUGUUGGGUGAGGCCCCUGACAAGCCAGUCCCUGGGGUACAGGAUUCUGUCUCCAGGUAGAGCACCCUUUCCCUGUCUUCCAGCCCGCGGGGCUCUCUCUGCCCCACCCCCCUCCGAGAAGGAGUCCUUGUCUCCUUUUGAC